rnacentral:lncRNA from 1 species
UAUUUUGUUUUGGUGUAGUUUUGAAGAUGUUUUGGGUAAUCUUAAAUAAAUUGCAGUGAUACCUAAACUCAGAUGAGAAAACGGGACAAUGAGGUCCAAGAUUAUAAUGUGAUUGAUACUAGAACAGAAAAAUGCAUGCGGAUGCUGAACUUGCUCUGCAGCGAUAGCCGUCUUCAGUUCAACCCAGUUUCCUGAAAGUGUUGGCUCAGGACAACAGCUCCUUGCUG